rnacentral:rRNA from 1 species
CAGUAGCCGCGGUAAUACGAAGGGGGCUAGCGUUGUUCGGAAUUACUGGGCGUAAAGGGCGCGUAGGCGGCCAUUCAAGUUAGAUGUGAAAGCCCUGGGCUCAACCUAGGAAUUGCAUUUGAUACUGUUUGGCUUGAGUUCGGGAGAGGUGAGUGGAAUUCCCAGUGUAGAGGUGAAAUUCGUAGAUAUUGGGAAGAACACCAGUGGCGAAGGCGGCUCACUGGACCGACACUGACGCUGAGGCGCGAAAGCGUGGGGAGCAAACAGGAUUAGAUACCCGCGUAGUCCCUGUCUCUUAUAC